ACGGAAGGCAGCAGUGGGGAAUAUUGCACAAUGGGGGAAACCCUGAUGCAGCAACGCCGCGUGAAGGAUGAAGGCCCUUGGGUCGUAAACUUCUGUUCUAAGGGAAGAUGAUGACGGUACCUUAGGAGCAAGUCCCGGCUAACUACGUGCCAGCAGCCGCGGUAAUACGUAGGGGGCAAGCGUUAUCCGGAAUUAUUGGGCGUAAAGAGUACGUAGGCGGUUUCCUAAGCAUGGGGUUUAAGGCAAUGGCUUAACCAUUGUUCGCCCCAUGAACUGGGUUAGUUGAGUGCUGGAGAGGAAAGCGGAAUUCCUAGUGUAGCGGUGAAAUGCGUAGAUAUUAGGAGGAACACCAGUGGCGAAGGCGGCUUUCUGGACAGUAACUGACGUUGAGGCUCGAAAGCGUGGGGAGCAAACAGGAUUAGAUACCCUGGUA
rnacentral:rRNA from 1 species